rfam:Blumeria graminis f. sp. tritici 96224 unplaced genomic scaffold Scaffold-143, whole genome shotgun sequence.
GGUUGAUUAGUGUAGUUGGUUAUCACAUCGGAUUUUGAGCACAAACUUCCGGAGACCCGGGUUCGAAUCCCAGAUCGACCU